AUGGUUUACAGACUCCUCUUUGGAUUUCUCCUUCCUCUUGUCUUACAACCCUCCUUAGUGUUAUGCAAUCCACCAGAGCUGAAGAUUGGCUUUUACCAAUACACAUGCCCGUAUGCAGAGGUCAUUGUUCGUGAUGAGAUUGCCAGGAUCAUCUCCCACGUCCCAAGCCUCGCUGGUCCUCUGCUUCGCAUGCACUUCCACGACUGUUUUGUGAACGGUUGCGAUGGUUCUAUUCUGCUUGAUAGCAUACCAGGAUUACCAUCCGAAAAGGAAUCGGAACCGAACCUCAGCCUGCGAGGCUUCGGCACAAUCGACCUUGUCAAGGCUAAACUGGAGCAAGCCUGCCCUGGAGUGGUCUCAUGCGCUGAUAUCCUAGCUCUCGUGGCAAGGGAUGUUGUACUACUGACCCAUGGGCCUUACUGGAAUGUUCCAACUGGGCGGCGAGAUGGGUUGAGAUCGGUGAAGGAUGAAGCUUUGAACAACCUACCUCCACCUUUUUUUGAUGCCACUCGUAAUCUGAACCAGUUCUUCGUCCCGAAGGGUCUUGAUGCGAAGGAUCAGGUGGUUCUGCUAGGGGGGCACACCCUUGGGACCUCCCACUGCUCGUCCUUCUCGGACCGGCUGUACAACUUCAGCGGCACACAGAUGCCGGACCCGGCGCUGGACAGGCGGUACGCGCUGCGGCUGAAGAGCAAGUGCAGGCCCGGCGACGCGACGACGCUGGUGGAGAUGGACUCGGGGAGCUUCAGGACAUUCGACGCGAGCUACUACCGUCACGUCGCCAGGGGGAGGUCGCUCUUCACCUCGGACGAGACGCUCAUGCUGGACCCCUUCACCAGGGACUACGUCCUGCGCCAGGCGGCCGUCGCCGCUGCCGGCGGCUACCCCGCCGAGUUCUUUGCGGACUUCGUGGCGUCCAUGGUGAAGAUGGGGAACAUGCAGGUGCUCACCGGCACGCAGGGCGAGGUCAGGCGGCGCUGCGGCGCCGUGAACCCGAUUGGCAUGUAG
rnacentral:rRNA from 1 species